rnacentral:rRNA from 1 species
CAGUGGGGAAUAUUGCACAAUGGGCGAAAGCCUGAUGCAGCAACGCCGCGUGAGCGAUGAAGGUCUUCGGAUCGUAAAGCUCUGUCCUCAAGGAAGAAUUUUGACGGUACUUGAGGAGGAAGCCCCGGCUAACUACGUGCCAGCAGCCGCGGUAAUACGUAGGGGGCUAGCGUUAUCCGGAAUUAUUGGGCGUAAAGGGUGCGUAGGCGGUCCUACAAGUCAGAGGUGAAAGGCUACGGCUCAACCGUAGUAAGCCUUUGAAACUGUAGGACUUGAGUGCAGGAGAGGAGAGUGGAAUUCCCAGUGUAGCGGUGAAAUGCGUAGAUAUUGGGAGGAACACCAGUUGCGAAGGCGGCUCUCUGGACUGUAACUGACGCUGAGGCACGAAAGCGUGGGGAGCGAACA